UAUGUACCUGGCCCCAGGCUGAGUAUUUUGUAUCAAUCAUUUCUGAAUCCCAUCACAUUCUAAUAGGUGGUUACAGCAUUACUCACACUGCAAAGAUGGCAGAACUGAGUCACAGGUGUUUAUAUUGAUUAUUCAACAAGUGACAGAACUAAGGUUUGUCACUUGAACCGAUGGUCGCCUGACUCUAAACAUUCACUCUGGUCCUUUGUGGCUUGAAGAUGUCCCUUCCCUUGUGAGCAGCUCAUGCGUGGACCAGGAGAGCAGAUGAGCAGGCAUCCACAUACAAGUGGGCUGAUGAACGGAUGUCCAACCAGAGAUGUCCCUCUGUUUUGUCCCCAUACACAUGUCCUUCUCUCCCCAGGCCCGAAAGGGUGGAGCAGCCACUGGGGUUGACACUGUCUGCGUCCACCAUCCUGACUCUGUGGACCUCACGCUGGACAUGGAGUGGCUCUGCUGAGAGCUGAGCCACCAGCCCCAUGGUGUCGCCCGGCUUGCACAGGGACUGUCUCUGCGGUGAGGGAAAGGGGUCUCCUCCUGCACCCCAGGUGGAUGCUUCUCUUGGUGCUCUGAGCUCUGGUCAGAGCACACAUCCACGUCUGCUUCGAGAUUUCUCUCUCCUCACUCUUCUUUUCCUUGUGAGGUCCCUCUUCCCCACCGAGGGCUACGUCACAGGGAGAGAGAGAUGGAAAGUCAGAGAAAGGUUAUAGGAGGCACCGCUGACUGUUUGGAAGGGACACAACCUCCUGAUGGCGUCUAGUCUUCCACCAGCGGUCCAGCCCCUCCCUCCCUUCCUUAACCCUCUCAAAGCUCCCCCCUCACUCUUACCCACUCUCUGCAGUUACACCAGACCAGCCUUGACCUCCAUCCCCAGUGGUUCUGUGACUUCUAUACCCUCCUUGAGAACCCCAGAGGCUCCAGUCUCCUCCACCUCUACAGAAAGAGCCUUCCCUCUGUGUCUCCUUCCUUCCCACCUCCAUGCCUCCAUGCUUAGCCUUGAGAAGGACCAGAGAUCAUGCACAGGCAGCUCAAGGCUGGGGGACAGAGUGGGAGGAUGAACCUUUGGGUCUAUACCCUCACCACAGACCCGUCCAGCUCCACCCCUGGGUUUGGAGAGCUCUGUGACUCCAGGUUCUCAGUUCCAGACUGAAGCAGUGGCUCCUUUUAAUCCACCCCUUGCUUUCUGUUAAGGUGAGCUGGGUGACUGCUCCUGGAGGACACCUGACUGAUGGAGAGGUCGCCUUGGUUGUCCUUCCUCUGACCUCAGCAUCCAGCAGACCAGCCCCGGCUCAUUCAUGUGCUCACAGAGCUCCCAGAGGGCAAGCCCCAGAACACAAGCAUUUUUCCAGCCUUUGCUCGCAUCAGGUUUCUCUCAUCCCUUUGACCAAAGCAAGUCAUGGCCAAGCCGGAGUCAUGGGGUGGAGGUGGCCUCCCCACCUUGGUCUCAGGGGCUGCAACACCAUGUUGAAGGUGUCGUUGCAGGGAGCUGAGGAAUUUGUGGCCAUUUUUACAGCCCUUCCCAGGUGACCUGCCAGGACCAACUCGUGACCAUGUUGGCCUCAGGGGACCUGGAGGGGUCAGUCAGUGAGGCCAGAUCCAGUGGUGCCUUCUGGAACAAUUCCUGAAACUUCCCCUUCUCCCAGAAUGGAAUGGACACCGUCAAGGGCAAACCCAGGACUAAUUCCCAAGGGGCAGGGGAUAGAGGGGUGGGCAGAGAAAGCAGGCAUAAUAAUAACAACAGUACAGCAAAGCAAUGACAGCAGCCUUCACUGAUUGUCACAUAACAGGGACCUUGCUUCACACGUAUGACCUUCAGCCACUGCAGGUAGACACUGCUGUUUCUCCAUUUGAGAGAGGCACAGGCUGGUUCUUGGGGGCUCAGUGAUUUUCUGAGGCCGCACAGCCAGCAGAUGCACAGGACUCAACUCUAAGUCAUUCAAACCCUAGAGUCUGAGCUUUUGCUCUAAAAUAGCUGUGUGGCCUUGGGGAAGUGACUUAACCUCUCUGAAACUCAGUCUCAACCUGUGUCAGUUGGGGGUAAGUAACAGGCCUCCCCUCCAAGGGUUGUGUGUGGAACAUAUGAGAUCCUGGAUGGAAAGUGCUUAGCACAGAGCAUGGAGUAAGCACCUACCGAACGUCAGUUGUUAUUAUCACUACUAUUUUUAUUGUCAUUGUUGUUAUCAUUAUCACUAAUAGAACAAUAAAACAAAGUUUCCCAUUCUGGGAGGAGACGUUCUGAGCUCCUGCACCAGAUGUGAAUACAUUGGGCAACAGUUAUGUGCACCAAGACUCUCCCCAUGACCCCUAGCUCUAGCCCAGGCAGUGACUUGAGGUGUAACUGCUCUCCCACUCUCACUGCAGUCUCUGGCCCUGCCCUGUCCACCCACCCUGUGCAGCACAGAGGACAUGCAGCCUCUGGGCUCAGAGGAGUUAGACAAAACAGAGGAAGACUUGCAGCUCCCAGUGAGAGCCCAAAUCACCUCAUUUCUGCACCGCCCACUGACGCCCCCCACCCCCAUGCUCAGCUCCCCUCUCCCUGCCUACUCACUGAUGCCGCCCCGCUCACCUCAUUCCAGCCCUGCCCCUGUCCUGUUCAGUCCUACUGACCUCCUUCUCCUCCUCCGACAGCUUGGGCCCUUGUUCAAGAACACCAGUGUCAGCCCAUCUACCCCCGCUGCAGAGUGACCUCCUUAGGUCACACCAACUACUGAGCACUGCACAGGAAGCAUGAGUCUGAGCAAGAGUGUAGCAGGGAGGUCACAAGCAAGGAACUGGGGGUCAGAGAACCUGGGCCCAACCAGACUCUCCCUCCCUCCAGCCAUGUGACCCUGGGCAGGUGACCAUUUCUGUACUUUGGUUUCCUCCUUUGCUUGAUGUGGGUAAUUGUAGUACCCAGCUUGUAUUUAUCCACAGAAAAAUCUCUGCACAUAGGAAGUGAUCAUAAAGCACUUAUUCAUGUUGUAUAAUAAAUCCUUACAUGGUGUUUACUCCAUGCCCAGCACUGUGCUUAAGAACUCUACAAAAAUUAACUUGUUUAAGCCUCAGAACAACCUUUGAAGUAGGAAUCAUUAUUAUCUCAUCUCACAGAUGACUAAAUCGAGGUGCAGAGAGGUUGGUUAUAGCUCCCACGCCCAGCUCCCCUCUCCCUGCCUCCUAACUGAUGCCCACCCCACCCACCUCACUCCUACACUGCCCACUGACACCCUCCCCACCUCCCCCAUGCCCAGAUUGGUGUAGUUGGUUAUAAGGGCAGGAGAGGUAGAUGAUGAUAGACAGACAGACAGACAGAUGUUAGAUAAUUCUCCUGCUCUUCUAAGCAAGUAGACCAGUCUUCCGCACAGGAGUUUAGAAAGUCAACAAUCCUAGCACAUACAGAUAUAGAUUUGGAUACAGACAUAGAUAGGUCUAGAUUGAUCUGUCUGUAGAGAGAAGGAGAGGGAGAGAGAGAGACAGAGGCACAGAGAGACAAAGAGAUGGAGAUGGGAGCAGAGAGAAGGUGGAUGAAAAUAUCUGGAGUCAUCAGUUCUGCAUCGGCGCAGCAAGUGGGAGCCUUUCCUCCUGGGAAAGGACAGAGCCCCAGUGUUUCCACACAGCCCUCCCCUCCGGUCCCUGGGUGGAAAUGUUCAUCUCGACCCCCAAAUCAUUAAGCCUGUCCUACUCACUCGCUGCUGGAGCGUCUCCACUAACAAGUGACCCUCAGGCACAACAGGAGGAGGGCCCGGGCGCUGUGAUGCCCUGCCCUGGGUGGACGUCGGUCCCCCUGGCCUCCCUCUGAGCCUCGGCUCUGACUGCACCUGCCAUAG
rnacentral:lncRNA from 1 species